rnacentral:rRNA from 1 species
UUACAGGACUCGCAAGACUCCCGUAAACCACUGUGAACUUACCUACAACCCGUUGCCUCGGCGGGUGCUCCGGGCGCGUCUUCGGGCGCUCCGGGGCGCUCCAGCCCGCCGGCGGCCCCUAAACUCUGUCUCUGUAACGUUGGCAUCUCCGAGCAGACUAUAAACGAGUCAAAACUUUCAACAACGGAUCUCUUGGUUCUGGCAUCGAUGAAGAACGCAGCGAAAUGCGAUAAGUAAUGUGAAUUGCAGAAUUCAGUGAAUCAUCGAAUCUUUGAACGCACAUUGCGCCCGCCAGCACUCUGGCGGGCAUGCCUGUCCGAGCGUCAUUUCAACCCUCAGGCCCCGCCUGGCGUUGGAGCCCUGCGCAGCGCAGGCUCCCAAAGACAGCGGCGGGCGCGCCCCGGAACCGAGCGCAGUAAUGCUUUCUCGUUCUGGUCCGGCGCGCGCUCCGGCCGUAAAACCCCCAACUUUCUAAGUGGUUGACCUCGGAUCAGGUAGGAAUACCCGCUGAACUUAAGCAUAUCAAUAAGCGGAGGAAAAGAAACCAACAGGGAUUGCCUCAGUAACGGCGAGUGAAGCGGCAACAGCUCAAAUUUGAAAUCUG